rnacentral:rRNA from 1 species
AUUGAACGCUGGCGGCAUGCUUUACACAUGCAAGUCGAACGGCAGCGGGGAGGAGCUUGCUUCUCUGCCGGCGAGUGGCGAACGGGUGAGUAAUACAUCGGAACGUGUCGAGAAGAGGGGGAUAACCACCCGAAAGGGUGGCUAAUACCGCAUAAAUUCUGAGGAAGAAAGCUGGGGACCUGGGAAUAGGCCUAGCGCUUUUUGAGCGGCCGAUGUCGGAUUAGCUAGUUGGUGAGGUAAAGGCUCACCAAGGCGAAGAUCUGUAGCGGGUCUGAGAGGAUGAUCCGCCACACUGGGACUGAGACACGGCCCAGACUCCUACGGGAGGCAGCAGUGGGGAAUUUUGGACAAUGGGGGCAACCCUGAUCCAGCCAUGCCGCGUGUAUGAAGAAGGCCUUAGGGUUGUAAAGUACUUUUGUUAGGGAAGAAAAGUCAGCUGUGAAUAAUGGCUGAUACUGACGGUACCUAAAGAAUAAGCACCGGCGAACUACGU